UACGUAGGGUGCAAGCGUUAAUCGGAAUUACUGGGCGUAAAGCGUGCGCAGGCGGCUAUGCAAGACAGAUGUGAAAUCCCCGGGCUCAACCUGGGAACUGCAUUUGUGACUGCAUCGCUGGAGUGCGGCAGAGGGGGAUGGAAUUCCGCGUGUAGCAGUGAAAUGCGUAGAUAUGCGGAGGAACACCGAUGGCGAAGGCAAUCCCCUGGGCCUGCACUGGACGCUCAUGCACGAAAGCGUGGGGAG
rnacentral:rRNA from 1 species